rnacentral:rRNA from 1 species
CCAAUAGCGUAUAUUAAAGUUGUUGCAGUUAAAAAGCUCGUAGUUGAAUUUCGGGGUCAGCAAGUUGGUCGUGCCACUGGUAUGCACUGGCUUUGCUGAUUCCUCCUUCUUGUAGAACCGUAAUGCCAUUUAGUUGGUAUUGCGGGGAAACAGGACUGUUACUUUGAAAAAAUUAGAGUGUUUAAAGUAGGCUAACGCCUGAAUACAUCAGCAUGGAAUAAUGAAAUAGGACGAGCGAUCCUAUUUUGUUGGUUUCUAGGAUUGACGUAAUGAUUAAUAGGGAUAGUUGGGGGCAUUAGUAUUCAAUUGUCAGAGGUGAAAUUCUUGGAUUUACUGAAGACUGACUACUGCGAAAGCAUUUGCCAAGGAUGUUUUCAUUAAUCAAGAACGAAAGUUAGGGGAUCGAAGACGAUCAGAUACCGUCGUAGUCUUAACCAUAAACUAUGCCGACUAGGGAUCGGAUGAUGUUAAUUUUUUAAUGACUCAUUCGGCGCCUUACG